ACGGGUGAGUAACGCGUGAGUAACCUGCCUUGCACAAGGGGAUAGCCGUUGGAAACGACGAAUAAUACCCUAUGAUAUAAACUCUUCGCAUGAAGAGCUUAUCAAAGAUUUAUCGGUGUAAGAUGGACUCGCGUCUGAUUAGCUAGUUGGUGGGGUAACAGCCUACCAAGGCAACGAUCAGUAGCCGGCUUGAGAGAGUGUACGGCCACAUUGGGACUGAGACACGGCCCAGACUCCUACGGGAGGCAGCAGUGGGGAAUUUUGCACAAUGGGGGAAACCCUGAUGCAGCGACGCCGCGUGAUUUAGAAGGCCUUCGGGUUGUAAAAAUCUUUUGUAUGGGAAGAAAAUGACAGUACCAUACGAAUAAGGACCGGCUAAUUACGUGCCAGCAGCCGCGGUAAUACGUAAGGUCCGAGCGUUGUCCGGAAUCAUUGGGCGUAAAGGGUACGUAGGCGGAUAAGCAAGUUAGAAGUGAAAUCCUAUAGCUCAACUAUAGUAAGCUUUUAAAACUGCUCAUCUUGAGGUAUGGAAGGGAAAGUGGAAUUCCUAGUGUAGCGGUG
rnacentral:rRNA from 1 species